UUAGGAAUUUUGCACAAUGGACGAAAGUCUGAUGCAGCGACAUCGCGUGAGGGAUUAAGGCCUUCGGGUUGUAAACCUCUUUUUGGGAGCCAUGAAGGCGCCCAGAAUAAGCAACUACUAACUACGUGCCAGCAGUCGCGGUAAUACGUAGGGUGCAAGCGUUAUCCGGAAUUAUUGGGCGUAAAGAGCGCGUAGGUGGUUUGGAAAGUUGCCUGUUAAAGCUUCAAGCUCAACUUGGAAAUCGCAGGCAAAACUUCCAGACUAGAGAAUAGCAGGGGCAAGCGGAAUUCCCGGUGUAGGAGUGAAAUCCGUUGAUAUCGGGAGGAACACCAAUGGCGAAGGCAGCUUGCUAGGUUAUCUCUGACACUGAGGCGCGAAAGCGUGGGGAGCGAACGGG
rnacentral:rRNA from 1 species